AUUGAGUUCUGUUUCCUUAUUACCAUUUUAUGUGAAUUGUGCUGCUAACUGGAGGUUCAUUUCUUGGAAGUGGAAUCUCAGGCAGUGAGUUCUAAGGGUGCUUCGGAGAAAACGAGGCAAGGGGCAUACCUGGAAAGCAUCCGGUUUGCCCAACACUGCUCUCUCCAGGUCCUCCUACUUGUCUGACAUGCCUUCUUAGGAUCCUUUCCUGGAUCUUUAUCCAGGUCACGACUGCUAAAGGUCAUUCUUGGCUCCAACAACACAGAAAGACCACCUGUUUCAGUAGAAGUUUUAUAAUCUGUGCCAGUGAUGGGAAAAUGAAUAGCAAUGGAGUGAUAGCUCAUUCAAAGAAUUGGAGAAUAAUACUUUGAUCAAAGUCACAUCGAGAGUAAUUAGACAAGCCUGGAUGGACCUUGAUUUUCUAAGCCUACAUUUAGGGGAUUUUUUCACUAUUCUUUUCUGCAUAUUAAUUGACAGAUUCAACAAUGAAAGUGCU
rnacentral:lncRNA from 1 species